UACGUAGGGUGCAAGCGUUAAUCGGAAUUACUGGGCGUAAAGCGUGCGCAGGCGGUGAUGUAAGACAGAUGUGAAAUCCCCGGGCUCAACCUGGGAACUGCAUUUGUGACUGCAUCGCUGGAGUGCGGCAGAGGGGGAUGGAAUUCCGCGUGUAGCAGUGAAAUGCGUAGAUAUGCGGAGGAACACCGAUGGCGAAGGCAAUCCCCUGGGCCUGCACUGACGCUCAUGCACGAAAGCGUGGGGAGCAAACAGGAUUAGAUA
rnacentral:rRNA from 1 species